UACGUAGGGGGCUAGCGUUGUCCGGAUUUAUUGGGCGUAAAGAGCGUGUAGGCGGCCAGGUAGGUCUGGUGUGAAAACUCGAGGCUUAACCUCGAGAUGUCAUCGGAAACCAUUUGGCUAGAGUCCGGAAGAGGAGAGUGGAAUUCCUGGUGUAGCGGUGAAAUGCGCAGAUAUCAGGAAGAACACCAAUGGCGAAGGCAGCUCUCUGGGACGGUACUGACACUGAGACGCGAAAGCGUGGGGAGCGAACAGG
rnacentral:rRNA from 1 species